AAAUAGCAUCCUGUGUGAUCAAUAUUGUUAACGGGGCCCAACACGUUAUCUGCACUGUAAUGUAUUUAUGCGGGUGUGUAACAGUAUAUGUGAAGCACAUCAAGCACAUAUAAUGGCAGUCGCCACCUCACCCUGCAUCAGUCGGCAGCCGUUUGUCAGUGUCACACGCAAAUUGCUAACCACAAUGUCUCGUGCAAGUUUUGCUUUAUUACUUGUUUAUUUUGUAUGCGUCACCGAGUUAUCAUGCGGAUACAUAAUAAGAGGUAGAAACAUCGACAGUGUCUUCACUAAGGAAGUGCCAGCAUCUCAAGAUUUAAUUGACGGCAAUAAACUCACUCUCGACCAAGAAGUGCUUGCCCCAGAAAUCCCACUUAACAGAAAAUGCAAAGCGAUAGGGGAAUUUUGCAUGAACCACAAAGAUUGCUGCUCCAACGCCUGCUUAGGAUAUUUGAAAAAAUGCGUUUCUUAAGUAAAUUUGUAAACACGUUUAAAUAAAUAGACAUUAAGUAUUGGUUUACUAUUUAUUUAAUUUAUUUUACGGAUCGGAUGAAUAGGGUGGUUAAGAUUCGUUAAAUCUGGAGGAUUAGCCGCAAAAUACUGGAUUUCCUUUAUCGCAUCUUCCGAAAUUUUCCACAGUUCCGGAUAAUUUUUUUUAAAAUUAUUGUACCAAUUGUAAAUCUAAAACAAAUCAUUUAUGAGAUUAUCUUGUUAAGAAAUAUUAUAAUAUUAUUAGUAUAAUCAAAUAAAGUGUAUGAAUUUA